CUACGUUCCCGCUACGUUGUCGCUACGUUGUCGCUACGUUGUCGCUACGUUCCCGCUGCGUUCCCGCUACGUUGUCGCUACGUUCCCGCUGCGUUCCCGCUACGUUCUCGCUACGUUCCCGCUACGUUCUCGCUACGUUCCCGCUGCGUUCUCGCUAUGUUCUCGCUACGUUCCCGCUGCGUUCUCGCUAUGUUCUCGCCACGCGACGAGUGCAAGUGAAGCGUUUAGUGGGUCGUCUUUGUUUUCCCGACGUGUUUACUGGACCUGAGAAGUUAGAGAGAUUUGAUGUUUGACCCAGCUAGCAUGAUCAUAUCAUUGAGGUUAGCUAUAUAGCGCGAGCAGCGCCGCUUUAUGCUAACGUCAGGGCUGUGUGACAGCAUGAAGUAGAUGAUGAAUAACUGCUGGUGUUUUUCAGACAUGAUCUUGAACUGGUCUUGACUGUGUAAAUCCUCCCAGAGAUUCAAAACUUUGCACAACAGAAUGUUUCUGCACUUGUUCCAAUCAUCCAUUAGCUGCUUUUAGCUCCCAACGGUCACUAAUUUCACUCUCGAUGUUGUUUUUAUAAACGCUGGCGAAGCGUUAACGUCGUCGUAACCUGUUGAGUCGGACAAAAGUGCCAAACCCAGAAGGAAAGUCUGUGAAGGUGCUGCGGCUGCGUCUGCUCCCGGCCCGUUUCCACGUGGGCCCGUUUCCACGUGGGCCCGUUUCCACGUGGGCCCGUUUCCACGUGGACCCGUUUCCCGUGGGCUCGUUUCCACGUGGACCCGUUUCCACGUGGGCCUGUGCUAAGGUGCCUGUGCUAAGGUGCCUGUGCUAAGGUGCACGUGCUAAGGUGCCCGUGCUAAGGUGCCCGUGCUAAGGUGCCUGUGCUAAGGUGCACGUGCUAAGGUGCCUGUGCUAAGGUGCCCGUGCUAAGGUGCCCGUGCUAAGGUGCCCGUGGCGGCGCCUCCACAGACUUGGGCUCAGUAGCUGCGCGGCGUUGCGUCUCCUCGCCGCUUGGUCACCCUGCAGCGCUGCAACAGGUGCUGCGUCACGCUUUGCUUCAGUCGUCCAUAUUUGCCUGUGUCAGUGUAUCGUUAUCGUGUUUGUGACAUCAUUAAUGGCCCUUCGGUUGUUUUAAACGUUCAGUUGUUUAGUGUUAUUUAGUGACCUUUGUGGGAGGAGCCAGACAGGACACAGGCGGACGCAUCAUUUCAGGUAGCUUGGAGCUGACUUAAAAUGCACAAGUUUGACUUUUAAAGGAAAAUACAAAGACAUAAGGAUGAUUUUAAGGAAUUGAAACAAUGUAAAGGUGGAAAUACUUCCCUUAUCUGGUUCCUGUUAGCAGCAUAAUCUCCGUGUGUGUAGACGUUGGUUAGAAGAAGGUGAGCACUGAUGUUGGAGGCCACUGGAGAUGAUCUACCUCAAACUGUCACUGAGGCUUGGAGACGUGGAGUCACGUCUUCUCUGAGACCAUGUUCAUGAAAGGAAGCAGAACCUUCAGAGAGCAGCAGACUGGUGUGUUUGUUUGUGGGGGGACUUCUGGGCUGCGCACCCUAAACGCUAGCAGUUAGCUCAGCCAUUUAGCAUCUUUAGCAUCUCCUGAGGGGAGGUCAUGGCUAGAAAGAGAUCAGGUUUAGAGGCGUGCGUGUGUGUGUGUGUGUGUGCGUGUGUGUUCUGCUGCUGUUUCUGAAGCAGGCCAGGUGUGCUCACAUGUAGAUGAAGGUAGCCAUAUAAUUGUAUCGUGCCUCUGAGUAAUUAUUAAAAAAUGCUGAAAUAAAUGAACGAAUGCAGUCGUGUCCUUCUGUCCGUCCACUCGCUCCUUGACAGUUGUUGCUAAAUGAUGAUGUCAAGCAUCUCCAGCAGCAUCUCCAGCAGCAUCUCCAGCAGCAUCUCCAGCAGCACCCACCUUGGCUCUAUGUGAGGAUCUGGCUCAUCAGGUCCUCUGGGUCCUCCUGAUCCUCCUCCUGAUCCUCCUCCUGAUCCUCCACUAGAGAAGAAGCAGCUUCCCGACAACACAGAAGCUUCAAGUGAAAACUGGCGAGUUUUCUCCAUUAGCACCGGGGGCUGUGUGCGCGUGCGUGUGUGGAAUUUCCGGACCUCACUUCCCUCCUCUGUCCAGCAGAGGGCGACACCGCUGCAACCUUUUGCAGAGGUUUGAUCAGCUCGGAUCUGUUCCGGUAUUUAUGAGCCUCCGGACCAGAGCGACCCCGCCCCCCUCCCCGCGUGACCACGACACCUAAAUGAUGUUUAGUGUCCGGACACAUUCCUAAAUAAUCGUGUUUAAGAGCACGUGAUGCGUGAGGCCACUGUACAACACACACUUCUUUAUCCUGACUCGAA
ensembl:lncRNA